GAGGUGCCCGGAUAAAUAUAAACGCGAACGGAAACAUCGAGUUGAUCCGGUCCAAGGUCGUUUGGCUCCCUCACUUUUCCUCCCCUUGCCGCGGCCCGCAGCGGGUCCGAGCUCCGUGACUUCAUCGAACAAACGAUUCGUCCGCGUGAUAAUAUACCUGCUGGAAAAUUCUUUAAUCUUUGCUCCAUUUAUCAGUAGCGAAUGUACCGUAUUAGAGGCGCGUAAGAAAAUCACGGUAAAAACCUGUCGCUUAAUGAGCGGAGAAAGGUAUUCGGGUCGCUGACCUACACGCCGAUGCAUCUCCGCGCGAUUCCGCUCCAUUCGAUAUCACGCGUGUACGUGUCCCACCUGUUCGAAGCCUUAUUAAUAUGUGAAUAUACGCUUGUACCGAUGUUCAACGAAACACGAGAGUCGUGACUCCUACACGCAUUCUUGACCCCUAAAUUCCGAGGAGCACACCGCCAGCAGGCGUACCGAAAGAUUUUAUCAUCGGAAAGUCGGACGGGCGCACGUGCGCAAAAAUGAAGAUGUACCUGGAGGUCGAGUACCCGUUAAAGGAGUGUCCGGUAGAUCCUCGCUGGUGAUGUCAGUUUGGACAAACAUCGCUUUUUUCGUUUGACGAAUCCCGAUACGUCAUGACACCUCCGCCGGGCCUUUCAUUUUCAACUUUCGACGCGGUUUCCUCGCACGAACCGCGCCAAUUCGAGUGAACUUGAGAUAGCAGUGACCACAAGAAAUAUCGGCGAUUAAUGUAUCCGCGGAAUUCACGGUUUUUAAUAAUUCGCUGCUUUUUGCGCGGCUAAAACGAUGCCAGACGGUAAAUCCCGAUGAUUUAUCACCUUGCAGACCGCGAGACAGCCGAAAACGUACUGUGUGCCACUCGCACGAUCGCGAAUGAGCAAACGAUCGCUCCCCCCCCCCCCCUCCCUCCCUCCUAACCCCUCGUCGCCGGCGCAGCGCACAUCGUGAAAGUAUAUACACGUACACAGUCCGACUCUCGAUACACGAUCUCGUCGCAACAAAUUCUCUCCGCAAGAGGCUAAAGAUGAGAUCGUUUUGGAGCGAUCCGAUGCGCGCGAGGAGCAACAGUGGCGAGCGAUCACUAACGUUUACCCUCGCCAAGUGUUUGUUCGAUGUUCGAUCCUCUCGCGCGCGCUCGACUCCACUUUACGUCGAGACUUUACGUUGCUUAUAAGGCCUGAGCGAGAAAACUACUCCUCGCGACAGUUACUGCAAAUCGCGACUCUGCACAGUCGUUCCUCCACCCACGCUUUGUUACUUCUACACGCUUGGAUUUUAUCUCUCUCUCUCUCUCCCUCUCUCUCCUGAUUUCCAUCUUCUCCUCCUUCGUCGCUCCUUUCUCGUGCGGUCAACUCCCGAGGCACGACCCUGUCGUUCGAGUCUUUAAUUGAUUUGCGUUCGCAGUUUGUCCCAAUCAGAGAACUCGCGACGACGAUACACGCUCGAGUACAGCGAGUAAACGACCAACGGACUCCGUACCCGGACUUUUUUUCAGGAAAAUUCGUCGCACGAGAAAUUGCGCAUUUGAAUACGAGAAACUCCACGUAAGCGAAAUCAAGCGUCAUCUAUAUAGAGCCGGUAAAGCCCCGGGACAAGUUGACAGCUCUGUCGGUUGCUGGUCUCAAGUUCGUUCAGUUUAUGCUCUCCCCUUCUAUCAAAUCGCGGUGCUGGCGGGGUCUAUUGCUUCUUGAUUUUUUGGCUAAGCGUCGAAGCGAAGAAGCAAUUGGUGGACUGGAGAGUAAACCAUAAAACCAUAAAACUGGGCAGAUAAAGAAAUAAAAAUUCAUCAGUCGAUCGCGGAGUUGAUUCGUACUCGAAAUUCGUCUUCAAACAUCUUUCGUUCUGUGAUUUUGUCUUCAGUGAUGUUCGACGAACUUGAAACAGUUUGAAUGUGCAUAAAUGUAGAAGUUGUACAGUUACCGGGGAAGGAGGAGAUACGAGAGAGUGGCGAGGCUCUGUGGGUGGUGGGAAGAUAUCGGUGAGCAAUUAGGUAGGAUUGUUGUAAUUCAGAUAAGAAUAAAGUUGCAAUUUACUCGGAGGUUUGCUCCCUCGCUGGAUAUAAUUCUAUCGCACGUUGCCUCGGCAUAUAAAACGUGUCUAGCGAAAUGAGCAUUGAACUUGCUCCGUGAGAGAGACGGAGAAUCUGAUCUUAUGCGAAGAGCACUGAAAUUCUGUACGUUUGGAUUGAACGACGUGAGAGAAGGAGGCAAAAGAGAGGACGAUAAAUAUAUUACUCUGUAAUACCGGUGUCGACUUUCAUGAGUUCAUAUUACGAAAGACGUUGUGGGUAUAGUGUGACACAUGUCGUACAGGUGUCCUCGACCGGCCCCCACAACCGAAGGUAUUUAAUCGACAUAGACUGCAUAAUUCAUUAUACAUCGGUAAUUCCAGUAACGUUUGCAUUUCUUUGUUUCGAAACUUUCGUCAAAACGAUCGAGGCUGCGUAAGACGAUUUGAAGAAGAGUUUUUAGCCACUUUUUCUUUGGAUGGAGCAUCGAAGGACAAAACGACGAAGGGUUUCUCUGUCGAAGAGUCUCAGGAUUCCAUCGGCUACUCGCACUUCGAUUUUCAUUGGCGAAUUUCAGGACACUCUGUAUGCAAAAUAGAAACCAUACAUAGCACGUAACUUAUCCUGGAUCGCAAUAAUCGUUGAGCCACUCGCGAUAGAAAGGGAAAGAAAAAAGGGGCGGGAGGGAGGGAAAGAGAGUAUGAAACGUGUAUGCUUAUCAGCGUGAGCGAAUCUAUUGCUAAUGUGCGUACAUACGUAUAUAGACAAAGUUGAGCAUUCAUUUGCGAAUUCUUGUGGUCUUGAAAGCCGCAUGCAAAGUGUACGUGCAUCGAUGUCCAUGCGUAUAACUUAAGCUUAGAAAUGAAGUAGAAAAGCAUUAGUAGAAAGAAAAAGAAGCAGCGAUAGAAAUCAUGUGCGUUUUAUUAAAUCAUACAAACAAUAGAGUACAAUGCACUUAUAAAAAUCGAUAAAUAAACAGAACUCGAUAGAAAGAAUAAAGGAAAAAAAAAGAAAGUCACGUUGCUUCGAAAAGAGUGGAAUAGCCACAGAAAUAAAGCAUCGUCGAAAAUCUCGAAGAUUUAAUAAAACUUUCGUAUAAAUAUGUAAAUAAAAUGAUUCAAUGUAUAGAUAAACGAUCGGACGAAUAAAUAAUAAUGAAUUUCAGAAAAAAGCACUCGAGUAUACUCGUUUUUUGGAAGGGAGUCACAGGAAGACGAAGGAUUUUGCGUUCGAUCACGGUUAUAAUCGAUGUUGCGUUGAACGAUGUGCCAGACGAACAGAAAAAUGUAUAAUGGCGGUACAUCGGGAAAGGAAUUACGGAGAUUCCACGUAUAAAAAAGUACUUAAACUUUUUUCCAUCCCGAUUUGAAGCCGUCAUUUCACAAAUUAUACUUUUCUCGACUCCACACGAUCAAUUUUGCGUUAAUUCAACGUUACUCGUUCUUCCUAACGAUUUAAACUUGCACUUCGCAUCAUCGAUCGAUAUCUUGCUCUCUCCCUCACUCUCGUAAUCAUUCGCGAGAAAUAAACUCGAUAAAAGUACGCGGUACUGAGGCACUACUCGAUAAUACACUCGAAGCUUGACGAUCUUCUUUCUAAUCGUUAUACUACCUCGUGGAACAACGUCAGGACAUAAAAAGAAAGACGAGACCGCUGAGCGCAGUGACUAGCACAGCUGUAGCGUAAGAUACUAACGCUAUGGCCGAUCGACCGUUUAUUUUUUCAUGGACGUACUUACCCCGUACUUGCUUCGCGCUCUUAUCACCUUUGAUACAACUUCCGCUUGAAUCCAUCAACGUCUUCAGGCACUUUAUAUUCUCUUUACAGACGCUCUCCAAUUCCAUCUGUAAAAACCAAGUCAAACAUUUAAUUUCAAUCGAAUUAACUCGAUCGACGAUUAAUUGAGCAACAAGCACUGCUGAAGACUUUCUCUACUUUACGUUUUUUUUAUCGUUGGACAUUUCCACUGCGUUGCAGCUUGGAAGACGUUCCACGAUCGAUAUGAACUUGAUUAUUAAAAAUUUUAGAAAAAAUUAUCGCUUCUGAUGCAGCGGAAAAUUUACUUUUCAAUUGAGCAGUCUCUGAACGAAAUUUUCUAGGUCUCCGCAUGGAAAAUGCGUUUGUGGGUUAUCACAAAGCGAGAAAUCCUUGAUCACAGCAUAAAGCGUAUCCAGCGGAAAAAUCUUUUAACAUGAGUGGCAACAAAUGAAACAGCUUGAAGAAGCAGGCGAUAGAGCUCGGCGAAGAAUGAACGUGCCUGAAAUGUUUUCAGUUGUAAAGUACUCAUACGUACAUUAUCGCGAGAUCCACGUACGUUGGGGGAUCGUGAAAAAUGAUUUUCCAUAAGAACAAGUUUCUUGUGAGAUCUCUCGACUAUUCGACGUACGUCUUCCAUGUCGCUGUCACUCUCCUCUGAACUGUCAACGUUAUCCUGGAUGUACAGAGAAUCAAAAGCAUUGAACUGUCAUGAAAUCCUCAUUGACGUGAGAAAUGCGAAAAAUUGAAUAUAAAAAUAAAUUUUAAAAAACGGAAGAACGAAAGGAAAGCAAUGGGAACUUUAUUACGUUCGUGCCAGUGAACACAUGAAAAUAAAUUAAGAAUGACAGAGAUGAAGAAAAUAAGGAGCCGAAAAAGUAGAAUAAAAAAAUUUGUUGAAAAUUCUCAAACCUUUGCGGAUGACAUGAGCAGUUGAUUAGUUGUUAGGCCAAUUGUCAUUAUUUAAAAAAAAAUCAAUAGAUCUUGGGUUUUGAUUGUAUUUCUGUACCGAUAAAUCAAAGUGGAGCUUACCGAGUGCAUGCGACUGCUCGCUGCAGGCGGGGAGCUGCUCCGAACCGCGCUCAUGCUGGACGCACAAUCAGAUUGACUGUCUAAGAAGUUUCUGUAGUCGUCACCAAAAUCCAACAAUCUUCGGGCCGUUUCAACGUCCGCAGUUUCACUGUACGGCUCGCUCAUGUAUUUCUCCUACAAGAAAAAAGAUACCAUUUUUUAUUAACGUCAAAAUACAGAAUUUAUAGCCGCUUGCGUCACCAUGAAAAAAAAAACGUACAAGCACAAAAUGAGGGACAGAGUUCUCAUAUUACACGAGCUGCAUGGGGCAUUUAUCGGACGACUGAACUCAUAAUAUGCUCAUCGACAACUUUCAAACGAAAGAGAUUAUUGAAAGACCAUGCAAAAUGAUUUUGAUUGUUCGUAAAUGACUCAAAAAAUAAAUCGAAUUAUCACAAUAA